rnacentral:rRNA from 1 species
UACGAAGGGAGCUAGCGUUGUUCGGAAUCACUGGGCGUAAAGCGCACGUAGGCGGAUGUGUCAGUCAGGGGUGAAAUCCUGGAGCUCAACUCCAGAACUGCCUUUGAUACUGGAGAGCUUGAGUCCGGGAGAGGUGAGUGGAACUCCGAGUGUAGAGGUGAAAUUCGUAGAUAUUCGGAAGAACACCAGUGGCGAAGGCGGCUCACUGGCCCGGUACUGACGCUGAUGUGCGAAAGCGUGGGGAGCAAACAGG